GUGGCGGCGCCACCAUACUCGUGGGGUAGUCAGAGGAGGAACUAAUCCAGCCGAGGCGCCACGAGGGGAUCGGCGAGGGGAUCUAGCGCGAGGGGAUAGGCGAGCAGACCCAUCCCUCCCGAGUCAUCCUACCGACCUCAACCUUGGGCGGAUCCUAUGUCCGCCGCCGCCACGAGAUCGCAGGUCCUCCACCCAUCCCAACCCUGCUCCUUCUCUCCAUGCUAAUGGAAAUCCUUGCCCAAUCGCUGACUGUUGUUCGUCUCGCCAACGGGGAAGAAAGGUAGUCGUUACUCGCACAUGUUGGUCGACUGUCAGAUUAGGGGUGGAGACCAACUACAAGCAGUCAUGUGGGUGUUUUGCAGUUCAUCAAAAUAUAACCAGUAUUUUACUGUUGCACUGCACAUUCUCCAAACCCCUUGUUAUUUGUGCAGAUCGAUUUCUUAUGCAAGACUUGGAACAACCGGUAGACUCUGCUCGGUUCUUUUCUGCACUAAUGCGAGGAUGAUGAUGAGUUCUGCAUGAAACAAAGUUUAAUUGGUGUUCAGCAUAGUUCUGGUCAAAUGAUUCAGGCAAAUAUUUUGGCUGGUUCUCAUAUUUUGGUUCAGGGAAUUUUUCAAUCUACAACGGCUGCUAGCCAGGUAAUUAGUUUCCAUGAACUGCCAUACCUCAUAUCUCCAUGUUUUCAAAUUGUGCUAACUGAUCAAGAACCUAAUUACGAGGUUUUGCAAUUGUUAUCUCCCCUGAAUUUAUAUUUCUCCAUUACAAGAUUGCAACUUUUUUUAAGUACUGGUACAAGAUGGAAGACACCUCCGCUUUAUCUUUCUUCUUGCAAGCACUCUGAUGAAACCCUAGCCAUGGUCUAGCAGCGCUGCCGCCCUUGCAAUGCCCGUCUGCACCAUUGCAGCAGCCGUAUCGAUGAGCCCAAGAUUAACAAGUGCAUGCCUUUAGCAUUCCUGCAAUGAUUAUAUUUUCGUUAGGGGACUGACAACCUCUCUUUCUUAUCUUCAUUUAGUGGUUGAAAGAUUGUCUACCAAAUAUGUGUACGGCAAUGAUUAUCUUCAUUCGGUGGUUAAAAGAUCGUUCAUCUCGGCCGUCAAUUGAGGUUUAGAUAGAUGGAGCCUGACACUCUCUGCCCUCAAGAACCACUUCGGUGCUGCCACACCUGGCAGCGACAAGUUCGGUGGCCUCUUCUCUACCGACCAGCUCGCCCUUGAGUUCCCCACAUUCAACGCAUGUUGGCAGUUUGAUGGAUUCCAGAAGGCGGCCAAGGAGAUGGUGAACCACAAGAAGGGGACGACCACGCUCUCCUUCAUCUUCGACAAAGGCGUCAUCAUUGUGGCCGAUUCCUAGGCCAGCAUGUCUAUAAUCAAUUCUGGAUAUGGACCUGGAUCUAGAUGAGAGGAUCGUACAUAAAUCGACUUCGUGCAGCCAAUAUCAGUAGUGUUGUCAAGAUGAGGCGGUUGACAGGAGAUGGGAAUGACAAAGCUCUUCUGCUUACUUGAGAUCCAAGUAAACACAAUCAUUCUGCAACUUUCGUACAUGUCCUCCAUUUAUGGUAGAAAAUAUGCAAUCUAACUUGUAAUGUUCAGACAUGAGCAUUGAGCGUACAUUUCUCUUGAGAAGAGACACUUAAUUUUAAAAAGGUCAUAGGCAUACACAUUUAGGACAGUAACCUCUGAAUUUUCAGUGAUGUUUGUUCAUCAA